UUUCUGUUUCCUCCGUCCGGAAUUACUUGUCGCUCAAAUGUAUAAAAACGGUUGUAUCUAAAUCUAAAAUACAUCUAGAUAUGUCCAUUCCUAUGACAAAUAUUUUCGAACGGAGGGAAUACAAU
rfam:Hordeum vulgare subsp. vulgare, WGS project CAJW01000000 data, contig: morex_contig_2550346